AUGCAUCCUGAAAUCCCAUUGUU
rnacentral:miRNA from 1 species